rnacentral:tRNA from 1 species
GCCUGGGUGGCUCAGUCAGUUGGGCGUCCGACUUCCGCUCAGGCAAUGAUCUCACAGCUCGUGAGUUUGAGCCCCGCCUCAGGCU